UUUAUUUUCAGAAGGGAUUUGACAUGGUGCCCUAUAUUUAGUAAUCUAAAGACAUUGUUGAUGAACCAGUGGUGUGUGCAACCUGACUUCAGUGGACUAGUUUGUAUGCUUGAGCAUUCACCGGUUCUUGAGAAUCUGACACUUCAAUUGUGUAAGCAAGGAAUACGUAAAUGUGCAUCGGAAGUGGAAGAAAAUCCUGGUUUAUUGGAAAAACCACCUACUAUUUCAGGAUACCUGAAGAUUAUCAAAGUCAAAUGUGAAGUGAUUUGCAAAGUUUUGAAUUUCUUGAGUACAUUUGGCCUAGAAAUUGCUAUUCAAAGGACUAACGGAUAG
rnacentral:rRNA from 1 species